CUAGUAUGAAUGUUAUACAGUGAAACUGCGAAUGGCGCAUUAAAACAGUUAUAGUUUAUUUGAUAAUCAAAUUUACAUGGAUAACCGUGGUAAUUCUAGAGCUAAUACAUGCUGGUUAGCCUGACUUUUAGGAAAGGCUGUAUUUAUUAGAUAACAAACCAAUAUUCCUCGUGUCUAUUGUGAUGACUCAUAAUAACUGAUCGAAUCGCAUGGACUUUGUCCGCGAUAAAUCAUUCAAGUUUCUGCCCCAUCAGCUUUCGAUGGUAGUGUAUUGGACUACCAUGGCUUUAACGGGUAACGGAGGAUUAGGGUUCGAUUCCGGAGAGGGAGCCUGAGAAACGGCUACCACAUCUAAGGAAGGCAGCAGGCGCGUAAAUUACCCAAUCCUAAUUCAGGGAGGUAGUGACAAGAAAUAACGGACUGAGGCCUCGCUUCAGGAUUGCAAUGAGUAGAAUUUAAACCCCUUUACGAGGAUCAAUU
rnacentral:rRNA from 1 species